AUUCCCACACCUAUGGAAUAAGGAAUGGUCAUUCCCACACCUAUGGAACCAGCCAUGGUCAUUCCCACACCUGUGGAUCUGCGAAUGGUCAUUCCAAGGUGCGCCCAAAAGAUGCCCCAGGCAACUGGAGAUGCUCCAGGGUCAAUCCACCUCCCAAAUCCCGCAGUUUCCUGUUCCCCACAGCCCAAAAUCGCUGCUUUUAGGAGAAAAAAGACCCUGGCUCACCACCUGCUGCCCCAAAAUCCUGGGAAAACAAACGGGGCUGCGCACUUUCCAACCCCAGGACAUUCAGUUGUUCAGCUGGAGAGAAGUUCUGGGGUGACCUCGCUGUGGCCUUGCAGGACCUGAAGGGGCUUCAGGAAUAAUGGAAGGAGAAUUUUCCCAAGGCAGAAAUGUUCAGAAAAGGGGAAGUGGAGUCACGGGGAGAGGACGAGAUUUGGGUGGGAUUUUGGGAAGGAAUUGUUCCCUGUGAGGGUCCCAGGUGAUUCCAUGGAUUUCCCACCGCUGGAAGUGCCCAAGGCCAGGCUGGAACCACGUGGGACAGGGGAAGGUCCCUGCCCAUGGAACUGGGAUUUUUUUGGGAUUUAAGGUUCCUUUCCAUCCCAAACCAUUCCAGGCUCACGGAGCACUGAGCCAUUUGUCACACACGGCCAUGGUGACACUUUGUCCCAGCGGCCACCCUCAUCUUUCCUUGGGAACGGGGUUGGUUUUUUGUAAACACCUGGAGUUUCCUCCUUUUUCCUUGAAAACAGAAUGCUUUGGGUUUUUUAAACACCUCAAAUUCCUGUGUGAGAGUGAAUUGCCCCUCCUUGAUGCGUCAUUUUCGUCACAAACCACAUCCAAAGCCCUCCCCUCUACCUCGACCCUGAAAAGCCACAAAGACACUUCUUCCUUGUUCUUCCUCUUUCUGGUGCUGAUUUUUGGGUGCUGGUGCCCCAAAUCCUCUCUGUUCCUGGACACCCAUGGACGUGUUUUGGGUCCCUCUUCUUGCCACACUCAUGGUCCUCCACCAAACCACGAGCGCCAGCGACACCGAGGAGGUGAUCGGGGUCCUGGGCAGGUCUGUGACCUUCCGCACCCACAACACAGACAAAAGUGCAGCAUUCUGGAAUUUUGGGAAUGAUCCCAUAGUGACUGUGGCAUUUGAGGACCCUCCUCGACCGGUAUUUUCUAAAGACAAAUUCCAAACCCGUUUUGCCGUCUCCGAGAACGGCCGCGUGCUCACCAUCUCCCAGCUGAGGAUGGAGGAUGCCGGGACCUACUCUGUAUUAACUGAUGGAAAAAGAUCCACCUUCACCCUCCAGGUGUUCGGGGAGCUGGCAGAGCCCACGGUGACCUGCGAGGCCCAGAACUGCUCGGACGGGAGCUGCAGCUUCUCCCUGCGCUGCUCCGUACCCGGCGCCGGCCUCGGGAACGUCUCCUACAGCUGGAGGGUGCGGGAUCAGCCGUGGGACGGGGACUCCGUGGUGCUGCGGGUGAACGAAUCAUCCCGGGAGGAGCCGGAGCCGCUGACGUGCACGGCACGGAACCCCGUCAGCAGCCGGAGCGUCACCGUCACCAUCCCCGGGGUGCUCUGCUCAGGCACCGGCUCUCCCCGGGAUGCAGAGGAAAGCUCUGAGCUGUUGUUUCCCCUCUCCAGCAAGUGCCACGGACCCUCCCAGCCCAGGUGCCCACUCCGGCAGCUGGAUCAGGAUCGGCGUCGUAGCCGGGGUUGAAAUCGCGUCGCUUUUAUCGAUUUACCUCGUGUUCUACUGCAAAUCCAAAGAUUGACAGCCAGUUAAACCACGGAAAGGAGCUGGACACGCCUCUGUGGAAAAGCAGAUUUAAAAAUGAGCAAAGCCCAAGAAAAGCUCUUUCCUCUGCCCUGGGAACAGGUCACUGACCGGCCCCACCUGGCCAGGGUGGGCUGAGAUUCCUGCCACAGCCGGGCCGUGCCACCAGGACU